GACGAACGCUGGCGGCGUGCUUAACACAUGCAAGUCGAACGAAGAGCGAUGGAAGCUUGCUUCUAUCAAUCUUAGUGGCGAACGGGUGAGUAACGCGUAAUCAACCUGCCCUUCAGAGGGGGACAACAGUUGGAAACGACUGCUAAUACCGCAUACGAUCUAAUCUCGGCAUCGAGGAUAGAUGAAAGGUGGCCUCUACAUGUAAGCUAUCACUGCAGGAGGGGAUUGCGUCUGAUUAGCUAGUUGGAGGGGUAACGGCCCACGAAGGCGAGGAUCAGUAGCCGGUCUGAGAGGAUGAGCGGCCGCAUUGGGACGGGGACACGGCCCAGACUCCUACGGGAGGCAGCAGUGGGGAAUCUUCCGCAAUGGACGGAAGUCUGACGGAGCAACGCCGCGUGAGUGAUGACGGCCGUCGGGUUGUAGAGCUCUGUUAAUCGGGACGAAAGGCCUUCUUGCGAAUAGGGAGAGGGAUUGACGGUACCGGAAUAGGAAGCCACGGCUAACUACGUG
rnacentral:rRNA from 1 species